rnacentral:rRNA from 1 species
UUGGAGAGAGAGUCAAAAAGACCGCGAAACCGUUAGGAGGGAAGCGAAUGCARCCAAAGUGGUUCUCAUUCAGGCUCAGGAGUUGUUGGCGUGCAGUGCUGGGAUGUCAGACGCCGUAGGGUGCUGCAACUCGGAUACAGCUGUCGACUGCUUUGCAUUCCUGAUGAGAACCGGCCAACGGCAGUUACCCCUGGCUCAAGAGGGUUGGUGGGAAGGUAGCUUCUUGGUUUACCGAGAAGAACUUAUAGCCACCAGUCUGGCAGUCUGGGAGUGACUGAGGAGUGCUGUGACUUUUCACACCCGCAGUACAGGCUCCCUAGGGGCCGGGUCCCUUCUGUCUGUGUGGGCAACACCACAGGGACUGCAUGCAGUGUCUGCGGAUGGAUGUGUGCUCAGGUGGGAGGUCGGCCACGUCUUGUGCUGUAGUCGUUGGUACCUAGAUGGCUUCAUUCGACCCGUCUUGA